CCUCAGUCGGCCAGCAGUGGGCGGGGAGAGCGGUGUCUCCGCGUCGGGUGUCUGAGGGGGACGGCGCGGCAGCCAUGCAGGCCCCACACGACGGCGCGGGCGGAGCGGCGGGCGGUGCUGGAGGCCAUGGUGGCCGCGGAAAUCCUUAUGAGCGGGGUGUUCCUGGUGGCCCUGCUGGUCAGCGUGGUGUGCGCGGAGGCGGUGGUGCUGGUGCUGCACCUCUCGGGAGAGGGCGAGGCGGAGAACCCGCGCCUGCCGCCAGACGGCCAAGGAUCCUAGUUCAUCAAUUCACCAUGAGAGUGCCGUUCCUGUCUCCCAUAGAGGCAGAGGUGGCCCGCAGGUCCCUGGCUCCUCGUGUGGAACCUCAUCUGCAUGCCAUUCGGAAGGAACUGGCAGUGAUAGGCAGCUUCCUGGUCGUGAGAUGGACUGCUCGAGAUACUCGCCUCCUUGGACUUUCCUUCACUUCCUUUCUUGACCAGCUUUCCCUGGUGGUGCAGAACAUGCAGCGCUUUGGACCCCUGUUUCCCCCUAAGUCUCUGCCAGGAAAAGGGGGCUGAAGCCCAACCUUGUGUCCCAUGCCAGGCAGUGCUUCCUUUCCCAAGGCAUUGAUUCCCGCAGUAGAUACCACUUUAUUCUUGGAGUCUGC